rnacentral:rRNA from 1 species
AACGAACGCUGGCGGCAGGCUUAACACAUGCAAGUCGAGCGCCCCGCACGGGGUGCGGCCGACGGGUGAGUAACGCGCGGGAACGUACCCUUUGCGACGGCAUAGCCCUGGGCAACUGGACGUAAUACCGUAGUUACCCUACGGGGGCAAGAUUUAUCGGCAAAGGAUCGGCCCGCGUAGGAUUAGCUAGUUGGAGGGGUAAUGGCCUACCAAGGCGACGAUCCAUAGCGGGUCUGAGAGGAUGAUCAGACACAUUGGGACUGAGACACGGCCCAAACUCCUACGGGAGGCAGCAGUGGGGAAUCUUGCGCAAUGGGCGAAAGCCUGACGCAGCCAUGCCGCGUGAAUGAUGAAGGUCUUAGGAUUGUAAAAUUCUUUCACCGGGGACGAUAAUGACGGUACCCGGAGAAGAAGCCCCGGCUAACUUCGUGCCAGCCGCCGCGGUAAGAC